GGCCCCAGGCCAUGCUUGUCUUGGCCACGGCCACCUCUUCAAUACCUAGUAGAAUGCCUGGCAUAAAGAAGAGGCCCAGAAUUUAUUUCAUAAAUAAUUGAACAAAUCAAGGACCUGUGACUUAUGUGACCAGCUCAAAUGGACAAGGUAUUCUGUGAUUUAUACUGGGCUCACUCAGGACCCAGGAGAUGGAACUCUGGGCAAGAACGGACAGCUCUGGCUCCCUGAAUCUGAAACCUAGGAAGCCUCUAGGUAGCUUGAGAAAUAGUGACUCUCAGGAUACAGAUUAUCUACAAUGAAGCAAAGCAGAUUUCUAAGUAUUGUGUCCAACCUCUGAGGAAAGGAGAUCCUAGAACAUUUCUACCAAUCAGAGAAAAGCAGAGUAUCCAGCCUGGAACUUGGGAUGAGCUCUUCAAUCGGAUCCUCCAAAUGGAGGUUAUUUCUCUCAUGUUCGAUUUCUUCUGACUUGUGAGAAGAUCCUCGGUGAGAUUUCUGUGUUAGUUGAGCAGGGAACACAGCACUCAGGAUCUUCAGUUUGCCCUCCAAUCAGUGGUCUGCCUUCAUUUUCCAGAUUGAUGAAGUCUGCCUCAGAGAAGGGGUGUCUGGCGUUUUUCUUUCUCUGUACAUCCCCUGCAAAACGCUACUUAUUCUUCAAGACCUGCCUUCAACUUCUAAUCCUCAAGGAAUCAUACCCUAAUUCUACCAAGGAGGGUCAAUCGUGGCCUCCUUUAUCUCAUUCGCUACUG